rnacentral:rRNA from 1 species
UUUAGAGUCGUGUUGCUUGGAAGUGCAGCACAAAGUUGGUGAUAAACAUCAUCUAAGGCUAAAUAUUCCUAUGAAUCCGAUAGUGAACAAGUACUGUGAAGGAAAAUUGCAAAGUACUCCGGAGAGAGAGUUAAAGAGGACGUGAAACCGAUACGAUGGAAGCAUACAGAGCCAGUUGCACA